UGUCAAGGGAUGGGAAUCGAACCCACGCCCUUCCGCUUACCGGGCAGAUGCCAUGACCACUAGGCUACCCUGGAC